GGCUGUUGCCCUCGUGUGCUUCAGUAAUUGUUUCAGUCACUCUUCCUUAUGGCGGCAUUUUUAGCGUGUUCUGCUGCUGAGAGGAGUGCAGCUGUCUGAGCUGGUGGGUCUCGGGUUCUUGGAAAUGAUCUAACAGAUCUGUGCUGAGGGUGUAUGCGUGUGAGCCCCGCAGAUAAUUUGCUGGUAUGGUUAGUUAGUCUGAAACACACUUCUUUUUUCACCCUCAGUUUAAGUACAGCGCACUUAAUUGGAAUAACUGAAGUGCUAAAAACUGAGUCAUCCGUGUUGGAAAUCCCUGUGAGCCAGAAGUUUAAAUACCUUGGCUUUGCAGCAUGACAGCAGCAGAAACAGGUGCAGAGUUGAGGAGUCUCUUGUUUGCAGACCAAAUUCCGUAUGAGCACAGGAAUAUUCAUGAGGGAGCUUAGCCCCAUGGUGAUCAUUUUUUCUCCUUGUUGCUGCUUGGGAAUUGCCACUUACUUCAAAGACAGCUGAACGUUCCAGGGAACUUGGUCCAACAUAUCUGGAGCUCUGUUUUUGUUUUGCUUUGAAGGAAUUUUGCUGGAAGCCUUUGUAGAUGUAUGGAGUUGUGAGGCUGUUACCAACUUGGAAGCCAGCAGCUUCAGCCUGACGAUGCCUCCAGCCUCACUCUUUUCCUCAACUCAGGGCCGAAGCCCUGGCUGACCUGGUGGCAGGGGGGCCUCAUCAGGGGAAGCACAGCUUGCUUUCUUACUCUCACCAGGAUGCUUUCAGUGCUGUGCAGGGGAUGCUGAAUGUUUAUUUGCCAGAUAGCAUCUUCAGUCAUCCUCUGUCUGUGACUCUGCUCAGCAUUCGUUGGCCUUCCCCUGCCCUCCAGGCUUGCCUGCAGAAGCAUCACCAGGCCCUCAGCACUGCAGAAGACACGAAUGGAGUCUGUACUCUUCUCACUGCCAGCUUGUGUGGAACAGCUUUGCUUCAUCAAGAUGGCUUUAGGAGCAACCCCAGCACAGUGCCUUUACAAAGGUUCCCUCAGUUCACAUAAUUACUGCUUUUGAAAAGACACACAGAGAUGCUGGUAAUAAUUCUACGUAUUGUAAAGCAGGAGUUAAAUGUUCGUAAGACAAGGAAGGGGGAGCAGAAGGGCGGCUGGGAGCUGUUCUUCAUGCCAGAGGCUCGCCUAGAUGUUCUGCUAGGUGGAUCUCUCAGGGCACCUUGAAAGAGUAGACAUAAAAAUGAGUGAGGCUUACAAGACAUUACUUUAAAUGAUUUAAAUUAAGCUUGAUAUUUGGGAUGAAGUGAGGCUGAGCCAUAUGGUCACAAAAGGUCCGCCCAGAUAGAUAAAUCCAGAAAGUUCAGACAGAGAAAUUGUUGUUGUGAGCCAAAAAAAAAAAAAUAAAAAAAUGAAGUCAGUUCCUGGAGUUGGUCCAAAUAGGAUCACCAGAAUACAAAUGUGUGAUAGAAACAGGGAUAAAGAUAGAUCAUCUGCACAGCGUUUGCAGCUCGUGCUUUCCGUGUCCAUGCAGUGAAGUUUGGGACUAAACUCAGCACUCUGGGGGACUUAGGGAUCCUGCCUUACAUCUUGUAUAACCAGCUCUGGCUUUACCAUCUUCUUCCUCCAGAUGAGGUUUGCUGUGGUGUAGUAUAGAACACAGACCCAAACUGGACUGAGCCUGCAAGGAAGCUGCAGCAGAUGAACUGCUCUCUUCAAGGUCCAAAGCACGAAGCAGCAGAGCUCACAGAUGACACUGCGGACACACUGCAGCAAGUAUUGAAUAGAGGCUUUAAUGAAAGCCAUGACUCCAGACUGACUGAUGACAAGAUAAUCAUUGCCAUGGUAUCUGGGCAAGUGUUUCUGGAAAACCAUUGACUGAGAAACAUGCUGAACACCCUUGAAAUGGCUGAGGUCAAACUCUACGUGCCUGGGGCAGGGGAGCGGGAUUAAAGCGUGAAAGCCCAUGACAUUUCAUCAGGACUCCAAUGCUUUGAACAGUCCACUGAUAAUGGCUUUGAUUGCACUAAUGAUGGUCUCCAAGAUAGCACAGUGAGAUCAUUGGAGGAUGUAGCUGUGCUCUGGUUCAAUCCUGAGAGAAUACCAAUCUUCCAGGACAGCAGCAUCAUUACAUCAAAACUAUGUUUCAAUCUAAUCCCAGCUUUGAAGGUGUCUCAGCGAGGUAAUAAAUGGGAACUGUGAUCGGACUGCAGCCUGCAGUGCCACACUUUGCACUGAGGACUUCUGGUACCUCCAACAACGCCCUCUGGGAGUCUCAGAGCCUGAACUGUCAGAGCCUCAUUUCACUCACCGUGUGGGAAGCUGUUGGGAAUCUGUCGCCACGUUUUUACCUCCUCUGUGAAUGCUGGAGCUGCAGAUCAGAACCAUUACCCUUCAUUCAUGGAAUCGUUGCAACCGUUUUGCUCUGAGCAAAAUUCCUGUCUGUUCUUCCAGUGUUUUCAGUUUUCACAACAGCUGCAGCCGUCCUAAAACCACAGCUCUGACGUUUGAUUGCCACCGCGUGAUUUUGCUUUAGCCUCAUGCUUGGCACAGCACUUCAACAAAGAGUUGUUGGGUUUUCACAGCUUUGGGCAACAGUGCAGACAUCCCUUCAUUGCAAAAUCUCCCCCGGAGAUUCGCAGAGCAGCGACUCGAGUGGAACGAUGUUUAAAAGCUGCGUUGAUGUAAAACAGAAAUGGAAAAAUGUUGUUUGAAGUUUGGAGAUAUGCUUUGGUAUUAAGAAGGAGGCAUCUUCCUCCACACGCUGAAUAACACCGAAUAAUCAACUGGGCUGUUGCAUUGUCCCGUGUGUGGAAGUGCUUGGAGGGAGCAAUUAGCAGCACAAGAUAAUUUGGUCACUCAGUUAUUAAAUAAGAUUAGAAAAUAUACGUAACCUGUCUGAUCUUUCUGUCUACUUCAG
rnacentral:lncRNA from 1 species